GAUGAAGAACGCAGCGAAAUGCGAUAAGUAGUGUGAAUUGCAGAAUUCAGUGAAUCAUCGAAUCUUUGAACGCACAUUGCGCCCUUUGGUAUUCCAAAGGGCAUGCCUGUUCGAGCGUCAUUUGUACCCUCAAGCUUUGCUUGGUGUUGGGCGUCUUGUCUCCAGUUCGAUGGAGACUCGCCUUAAAGUAAUUGGCAGCCGGCCUACUGGUUUCGGAGCGCAGCACAAGUCGCGCUCUCUUCCAGCCAAGGUCAGCAUCCACAAAGCCUUUUUUCAACUUUUGACCUCGGAUCAGGUAGGGAUACCCGCUGAACUUAAGCAUAUCAAUAAGCGGAGGA
rnacentral:misc_RNA from 1 species